GAGAAGAACGUAGCGAAAUGCGAUAAGUAAUGUGAAUUGCAGAAUUCCGUGAAUCAUCGAAUCUUUGAACGCAUAUUGCGCCCUCUGGCAUUCCGGAGGGCAUGCCUGUCCGAGCGUCAUUACUAUCUUCAAGCACAGCUUGGUUGUUGAGCCAAAUUGUCCUCUAAUGGACAGGCUUGAAAUGCAGCGGCGAUGCCAUGUUUGGUGCCCGAGUGUAUGGGGCUUUGUCACACACUUUUGUGGCCCAGCUGGCGUUAGUCUUGACCGUUAAACUAAGAUUUGACCUCGGAUCAGGUAGGGAUACCCGCUGAACUUAAGCAUAUCAAUAAGCGGAGGA
rnacentral:misc_RNA from 1 species